rnacentral:rRNA from 1 species
UACGUAGGGUGCGAGCGUUAAUCGGAAUUACUGGGCGUAAAGCGUGCGCAGGCGGUUUUGUAAGCCAGAUGUGAAAGCCCCGGGCUUAACCUGGGAAUGGCAUUUGGGACUGCAAGGCUAGAGUGCGGCAGAGGAGACUGGAAUUCCUGGUGUAGCGGUGAAAUGCGCAGAUAUCAGGAGGAACACCGAUGGCGAAGGCAGGUCUCUGGGCAUUAACUGACGCUGAGGAGCGAAAGCAUGGGGAGCGAACAGG